rnacentral:rRNA from 1 species
GAUUAACGCUGGCGGCGUGCCUAACACAUGCAAGUCGAGCGGCAGCGAGUUUUACACUGAAUUCUGGAAGCUUCUAGUUGCAAGAGAAGAUUUAUUCAAGAAUUUUGUGUAAAAUGUCGGCGAGCGGCGGACGGCUGAGUAACGCGUGGGAACGUACCCCCAAGUGAGGGAUAACGCAUCGAAAGGUGUGCUAAUACCGCAUAUGGUCUUCGGAUUAAAGCCUUCGGGCGCUUUGGGAACGGCCUGCGUAAGAUUAGAUAGUUGGUGGGGUAAUGGCCUACCAAGUCGACGAUCUUUAACUGGUUUGAGAGGAUGAUCAGUCAGACUGGAACUGAGACACGGUCCAGACUCCUACGGGAGGCAGCAGUGAGGAAUCUUCCACAAUGGGCGAAAGCCUGAUGGAGCAACGCCGCGUGCAGGAUGAAGGCCUUCGGGUUGUAAACUGCUUUUAUAAGUGAGGAUUAUGACAGUAACUUAUGAAUAAGGAUCGGCUAACUACGUG